CUUGUCACCAGUGGGGUACCUCAGGGAUCUGUACUUGGACCCAUUCUCUUUAAUAUUUUUAUUAGUGAUAUUGCAGAAGGUCUUGAUGGUAAGGUAUGUCUUUUUGCUGAUGAUACUAAGAUAUGUAACAGGGUUGAUGUUCCAGGAGGGAUAAGCCAAAUGGCAAAUGAUUUAGGUAAACAAGAAAAAUGGUCAGAGUUGUGGCAACUGACAUUUAAUGUGGAUAAGUGCAAGAUAAUGCAUCUUGGACGUAAAAACACAAGGGCAGAGUACAGAAUAUUUGAUAGAGUCCUAACCUCAACAUCUGAGGAAAGGGAUUUAGGGGUGAUUAUU